CUGUACUCCCUUGGAUAAUCUCCAUUGCCUUCCUUUUUGCCCAAUAAGCUUGGGAUAUUGAUAUUUGUGCAUUCAAAUUCUGUCUAACUUAUGCAACCAACUCACUGGGCUUCCAAGAGAGCUGACUCUUGAAUCUUUCAACGUACUUAUUGGUUAGAUAACUUGAUUUCAUAUUUCUAUUCCAAACUCCUUACAAUAUGUGUACUCACCAUGAAAAGACUUAAUCUAUAUAGUUGAUCC
rnacentral:lncRNA from 1 species